GAUGAACGCUAGCUACAGGCUUAACACAUGCAAGUCUACUUGAACUUCGGUUUGGGUGGCGGACGGGUGAGUAACGCGUAAAGAACUUGCCUCACAGACUGGGACAACAUUUGGAAACGAAUGCUAAUACCGGAUAUUAUGAGGUAUGCGCAUGCAUAACUUAUGAAAGCUAUAUGCGCUGUGAGAGAGCUUUGCGUCCCAUUAGCUAGUUGGAGAGGUAACGGCUCACCAAGGCGAUGAUGGGUAGCCGGCCUGAGAGGGUGAACGGCCACAAGGGGACUGAGACACGGCCCUU
rnacentral:rRNA from 1 species